AGCAGCCGCGGUAAUUCCAGCUCCAAUAGCGUAUAUUAAAGUUGCUGCAGUUAAAAAGCUCGUAGUUGAAUUUCGGGACCAUCAUGUCGGUCGUGCCUCGGUACGUACUGGCAUUGUUGGUUUCUUCCUUCUGACGAACCAUGAUGUCAUUUAUUUGGUGUUGUGGGGAAUCAGGACUGUUACUUUGAAAAAAUUAGAGUGUUUAAAGCAGGCUCACGCUUGAAUACAUUAGCAUGGAAUAAUGAAAUAGGACGUUUGAUUCUAUUUUGUUGGUUUCUAGGAUCGACGUAAUGAUUAAUAGGGAUAGUUGGGGGCAUUAGUAUUCAAUUGUCAGAGGUGAAAUUCUUGGAUUUAUUGAAGACUAACUACUGCGAAAGCAUUUGCCAAGGAUGUUUUCAUUAAUCAAGAACGAAAGUUAGGGGAUCGAAGACGAUCAGAUACCGUCGUAGU
rnacentral:rRNA from 1 species